GUAGUGCAAUAGAUAGCGUGUUGGACUUAUAAUCCAAAGGCCUAGGGUUCAAAUCCUACAUGCA